GAGCGCAACCCUUAUCCUUGUUUGCCAGCGAGUAAUGUCGGGAACUCCAGGGAGACUGCCGGUGAUAAACCGGAGGAAGGUGGGGACGACGUCAAGUCAUCAUGGCCCUUACGAGUAGGGCUACACACGUGCUACAAUGGCGCAUACAGAGGGCAGCCAACUUGCGAGAGUGAGCGAAUCCCAAAAAGUGCGUCGUAGUCCGGAUUGGAGUCUGCAACUCGACUCCAUGAAGUCGGAAUCGCUAGUAAUCGUGGAUCAGAAUGCCACGGUGAAUACGUUCCCGGGCCUUGUACACACCGCCCGUCACACCAUGGGAGUGGGCUGCAAAAGAAGUAGGUAGUUUAACCUUCGGGAGAACGCU
rnacentral:rRNA from 1 species